rnacentral:rRNA from 1 species
UACGAAGGGGGCUAGCGUUGUUCGGAAUCACUGGGCGUAAAGCGCACGUAGGCGGAUCUUUAAGUCAGGGGUGAAAUCCUGGAGCUCAACUCCAGAACUGCCUUUGAUACUGAGGAUCUCGAGUCCGGGAGAGGUGAGUGGAACUCCGAGUGUAGAGGUGAAAUUCGUAGAUAUUCGGAAGAACACCAGUGGCGAAGGCGGCUCACUGGCCCGGUACUGACGCUGAGGUGCGAAAGCGUGGGGAGCAAACAGG